AUGGCUUUUAAAGAUACCAGAAAGACUUCCGUGGAGGCAGAGGUGGCGUGGCGAUUCACCAGAUCGGAAUCACCCUCACCAGCCGCAACGUGAAGUCUUUGGAGAAGGUGUGUGUUGACCUGAUCAGCGGUGCGAAGGAAAAGAAUCCCAAAGUGAAAGGACCGGUUCGGAUGCCUACCAAGACUCUGAGGAUAACUACAACAAAAACUCCUUGUGGUGAAGGUUCUAAGACUUGGGAUCGUUUCCAGAUGAGGAUCCACAGGAGACUCACUGACCUGCGCAGGCCUCCUGAGAUUGUCAAGCAGAUCACUUCCAUCAGUAUUGAGCCAGGAGUCGAGGUUGAAGUCACCAUUGCAGAUGCUUAAAUCAACAUUUUUAAUAAAUUGAUAAUGA